GGGCCAGUAGGUUGGUCGUGCCACCGGUACGUACUGGUCUCACUGAUUCCUCCUUCCUGAAGAACCAUAAUGCCAUUAAUUUGGUGUUGCGGGGAAACAGGACUGUUACUUUGAAAAAAUUAGAGUGUUUAAAGCAAGCUAACGCUUGAAUACAUUAGCAUGGAAUAAUGAAAUAGGACGAUCGAUCCUAUUUUGUUGGUUUCUAGGAUUGACGUA
rnacentral:rRNA from 1 species